rnacentral:lncRNA from 1 species
GGAAGGAAGGAACUGAAGUAAAUAUAAGAGCCACAGUGAAUGUCGGGUUUCUAGACAUAGAAUUGGCCUGUAUCAUUAGUAAGCUGAACUUGGUUUUCAUUUUUUUUUUUUUCUGUCCCCCAGGCUGGAGUGCAGUGGCAUGAUCUCGGCUCACUGCAACCUCCGCCUCCUGGGUUCAGGCAGUUUUCCUGCCUCAGCCUCCCAAGUAGCUGAGAUUACAGGCAUGCACCACCACACCCGGGUAAUUUUUGUAUUUUUAGUAGAGAUGGGGUUUCGCCAUGUUGCAGAGGCUGGGCUGGAACUGCUGACCUCAGGUGAUCCGCCCACCUUGGCCUCCCAAAGUGCUGGGAUUACAGGUGUGAGCCACCACGCCUGGCCUGGUUUUCAUUCUUGAGUAAGAAUGACUGUAAUGUCAUUCUCAAUUUCUCUGUGGUCCUUUCAAUCCUGCACAAAUUAAUACCUCCAGGUAUUUUUACAAACAGGCUUCUGAACCCAGAGUGAGUCCUCACUUUUAAUUCUUGUUUUCCUGACUUAGUAACUUUAUCCAGCCCAGGUGUCACCAUCAUGGGUUCUUCUGUUCAUUUGUCCAUCAGACCCCCAUGGAAAACAUUGGCCCACCUGUGGAUCUCAACAACGCUCCCUCCUGUCUCUCAAGGACACCCUCUUCUAAGGUCUUCACUGCUGGGGUCCUGACCUUCACACACACAUUUGCCACAGGGCAUUGUCAUUGUCAUCAUCAUCCUCCCUCCGUCCCUCCCAGAUGCACGGGCUCCAGAAGCCCGGCAACUCCUCCCUGCUGCACCCUGGUCAGACAGGCAAGGGCGGGAUCAGGUCGCAGGUGCUAAAGGCAAAGCCAAAUGUUCAUGAUCCUGCAGACAUUUUAGUUACAGCCUUCAAGGCCACAAUGCCCCCUGGAACGAAACAGGUGACGGUCAAGGCCAAGUCCCUUCCUCUUGGGCAUGCACAUGAAAACUUGUGACACCUGCCUUUCAUCCAAGCCCAGCUAAGGCUCACAGCACCCCGCUUUCUGGCACACUAGCAAGUUGUUUUGUAAGAUGCAGAUUUGGGCGGGGCCUAUUGUUUGGACUCACAGUAUGGGAUCCAUUUCUAAAUGGCCUGAUGAUAGCAGAACCACAAAACCAAGAGUGAAGGGAUCACUGGAAAGCGUCAAUCACUCUAAGGGGGAAAAGGUUUUCCAGGCCUGAGAGUUGUGGCUGACUUGAAUGAAGCUCCUGACAUGACAUAACGUGACCGUGGUGGGCAGAAAGGGGGACGGACAGGGAGACCCGGAGCACAUGGAAAGGGUUGCCCUAGCAGCAAAACCCGGAUCUGCCCAUGUGGACUCCGUUCAUGGGUGAGAAAGGACCCCCAUGGGAGCAAAGGAGCACCCAGCCUGCCUGAAGGCACACCCCCUUUAUGGGCCGUCAAACCAGAUGCCAGAUAACAUGCAAACCAUACAACCACUUCCUCUGCUCUGUCAUUGUGAUCAUCUUCCUUUGGAGUCUGCUUUAAGAGAGAAUAUGCUGUUCAGGCCAAUGCAAAUACUUAGUCUGUGGGACAGCUAUAUUUUUCAUGAUAAAUUACCAAGAUGACACUCACUCUCAGCAUGAAUUACCUCGAGGGCUCUGAUGAGAUGCUUUCUGGACUGGGCAGUGCAAAAGCCAGACCCCAGACCUUUGUAACCCCCACCCCCAGGGUAAAUACCUCUGCGAGACUUCAUGAAGGCUGGCCAGCUAGUCCCAGCUGAGGAUCCGCGGCAGUGCUGCUCAGCCCUGGCUGUGCACAACAUCCGUGCGUAAGAGGAUGUGGACACCCAGCCUCACCCCAGCCCAGUUAAAAUCAGAGUCUUUAAGAAGUGAGCCGGAACAACAGCUUUUCUUAAAAGCUUCCCAGAAGAUUCUAGUGAGCAGCAAAAGUCGAGAACCAUGGGCUUAGUGUACCUAACUGAUGGAGCCCUCAGAUGCUGGAACCUAUGUGAACAGUCUUCGGUUUUGUAUUAGGCUAAUAAGCACUUGUAACAUUAUUAGUUACCAUAUACUGAGGGCCUAAUAUGUGCUAAGCACUGUUAUAUACUUUCACAUUCAGUAUGUGAAGACAUAAAAACAACUCUGUACAGUGGCUAUUGUUACCCCAUUUCAAAAUGUUUUAUUUUAAGAAAACAGGCUCAGAAAGAUUAAGUAAC